rnacentral:rRNA from 1 species
CGCGUAGGCGGCCAGAUAAGUCCGGUGUGAAAGUCACAGGCUCAACCUGUGAAUGCCGCUGGAAACUGUCUGGCUAGAGUCCGGGAGGGGCGAGUGGAAUUCCUGGUGUAGCGGUGAAAUGCGCAGAUAUCAGGAGGAACACCAAUGGCGAAGGCAGCUCGCUGGAACGGUACUGACGCUGAGGCGCGAAAGCGUGGGGAGCAAACA